rnacentral:rRNA from 1 species
UACGUAGGGUGCAAGCGUUGUUCGGAUUUACUGGGCGUAAAGCGCACGUAGGCGGAUCGUUAAGUCAGGGGUGAAAUCCCAGAGCUCAACUCUGGAACUGCCUUUGAUACUGGGUGUCUUGAGUAUGGAAGAGGUGAGUGGAAUUCCGAGUGUAGAGGUGAAAUUCGUAGAUAUUCGGAGGAACACCAGUGGCGAAGGCGGCUCACUGGUCCAUUACUGACGCUGGAGGUGACGAAAGCGUGGGGAGCAAACAGG